UUUCUGGGUGUAAUAAUACAUUCUGUGUAAUGUUUUUUAUUUAUCUAAAAAAUAAAUAUCUGUAUACGUGUACGUGCGCGUUUUUAACAGAUAAAUGGGAAAUAAUAAGUUGUCCGAGAUAAAUGCUUUCGGUUCGUAAUAUUAUAAAAUACGGUCUAUAAAUUAAUAAUUAUUGAGUUCAAUAUCAAUCGCACGUCCUUUUCGAAUUUUAGACGCGUACCGUAAUAAUAUCCGGUAUCUACGCUUUAAAAACGCUCAUUUUUCUUCCUUUUUUUUUUUUUUACACAGAAAUAACGUGGCCAAUUAUAUAUUUUCGUAUUUAUCUAUAUAAAUAACUCACGUUUCUUUUAUUAUCAUCUAGAUAACGUUAUUAUUAUAGCGAUUAUCCAUUAUUUUAUAGAUUCUGAGUGGAGCGAGGAAUGUAUUGGUUUCAUAAUGAUGUUUAUACAUAUGUUUUCUUUUAACAACUUUUCUAAGAGAAAUUUCGCUCCGAUUUUCAAGUGUAACACUUUUCUAAAGGGAAAUCUGACCUGGGCGCUACUUUGAAGAAGUCGAGUUACCGUAAUAAAUGGGAAAAACUGGGAAAUUUA